rnacentral:rRNA from 1 species
UACGGAGGGGGCUAGCGUUGUUCGGAAUUACUGGGCGUAAAGCGCACGUAGGCGGACUGGAAAGUCAGGGGUGAAAUCCCGGGGCUCAACCCCGGAACUGCCUUUGAAACUGCCGGUCUUGAGGUCGAGAGAGGUGAGUGGAAUUCCGAGUGUAGAGGUGAAAUUCGUAGAUAUUCGGAGGAACACCAGUGGCGAAGGCGGCUCACUGGCUCGAUACUGACGCUGAGGUGCGAAAGUGUGGGGAGCAAACAGG